AUAGUGCCCUCUGAUGCAAAUCAUUGGGUUAGAUCUGCUCUCUUCGCAAGAAGAGGGUUUCCAUACACACCGUGAACUGUGGCUUCGGCCAUCACAAACUGUUAGUAAUGAAUGUAAUAUCAUAACAAAAACAAAACUUUUAACAACGGAUCUCUUGGCUCUCGCAUCGAUGAAGAACGCAGCGAAAUGCGAUAAGUAAUGUGAAUUGCAGAAUUCAGUGAAUCAUCGAAUCUUUGAACGCACCUUGCGCCCUUUGGUAUUCCGAAGGGCAUGCCUGUUUGAGUGUCAUGAAACCUCACCCCACUUAGGUUUUUGCCUAAGCGGUGGUGUAUUGGGUGUUGCCUUGCUAAAGGCUCGCCUUAAAGACAUAAGCACCUUGGAUGUAAUACGUUUCAUCCUUCUGGGUGGCUGAUAACCCCACAUAUUCAUGAU
rnacentral:misc_RNA from 1 species